UACGUAGGGUGCGAGCGUUAAUCGGAAUUACUGGGCGUAAAGCGUGCGCAGGCGGUUAUUUAAGUCAGGUGUGAAAGCCCUGGGCUUAACCUAGGAAUUGCGCUUGAGACUGGAUAGCUUGGAGUGCGGCAGAGGGAGGUGGAACUCCACGUGUAGCAGUGAAAUGCGUAGAGAUGUGGAGGAACACCGAUGGCGAAGGCAGCCUCCUGGGCCAGCACUGACGCUCAUGCACGAAAGCGUGGGGAGCAAACAGG
rnacentral:rRNA from 1 species